rnacentral:rRNA from 1 species
GGCGAACGGGCGAGUAAUGCUUCGGAAUCUGCCCAAUGGUGGGGAAUAACCAGCCGAAAGGUUGGCUAAUACCGCAUAAGUCCUACGGGGGAAAGCAGGGGAUCGCAAGACCUUGCGCCGAUGGAUGAGCCGAAGUCGGAUUAGCUAGUUGGUAGGGUAACGGCCUACCAAGGCGACGAUCCGUAGCUGGUCUGAGAGGACGACCAGCCACACUGGGACUGAGACACGGCCCAGACUCCUACGGGAGGCAGCAGUGGGGAAUAUUGGACAAUGGGGGAAACCCUGAUCCAGCGACGCCGCGUGUGUGAAGAAGGCCUGCGGGUUGUAAAGCACUUUUAGUGGGGAUGAAAAGCUCAGGGCUAAUACCUCUGGGUCUUGACCUAACCCACAGAAAAAGCACCGGCUAACUCUGUGCCAGCAGCCGCGG